rnacentral:tRNA from 1 species
GCGAGAGUGGUGAAACUGGUAGACACGCCAGACUUAGGAUCUGGUGCCUUUGGUAUAAGGGUUCAAGUCCCUUCUCUCGCA